CAGCAGCCGCGGUAAUACAGAGGGUGCGAGCGUUAAUCGGAUUUACUGGGCGUAAAGCGUGCGUAGGCGGCUUCUUAAGUCGGAUGUGAAAUCCCCGGGCUUAACCUGGGAACUGCAUUUGUGACUGGCGAGCUAGAGUAUGGCAGAGGGGGGUAGAAUUCCACGUGUAGCAGUGAAAUGCGUAGAGAUGUGGAGGAAUACCGAUGGCGAAGGCAGCCCCCUGGGCCAAUACUGACGCUCAUGCACGAAAGCGUGGGGAGCAAACAGGAUUAGAUACCCCAGUAGUCCCUGUCUCUUAUAC
rnacentral:rRNA from 1 species